GCCAGACUCCUACGGGAGGCAGCAGUGGGGAAUAUUGCACAAUGGGGGAAACCCUGAUGCAGCGACGUCGCGUGAGUGAAGAAGUCAUUCGUGAUGUAAAGCUCUAUCAGCAGGGAAGAAAAUGACGGUACCUGACCAAGAAGCCCCGGCUAACUACGUGCCAGCAGCCGCGGUAAUACGUAGGGGGCAAGCGUUAUCCGGAUUUACUGGGUGUAAAGGGAGCGUAGACGGCAGCACAAGUCUGGAGUGAAAUGCCGGGGCUUAACCCCGGAACUGCUUUGGAAACUGUGCAGCUAGAGUGCAGGAGAGGUAAGUGGAAUUCCUAGUGUAGCGGUGAAAUGCGUAGAUAUUAGGAGGAACACCAGUGGCGAAGGCGACUUUCUGGACUGUACCUGACGCUGAGGCGCGAAAGCGUGGGUAGCGAACGGGAUUAGAUACCCCAGUACA
rnacentral:rRNA from 1 species